UCCGGCCGGGAACUCAAAGGAGACUGCCAGUGAUAAACUGGAGGAAGGUGGGGAUGACGUCAAGUCAUCAUGGCCCUUACGACCAGGGCUACACACGUGCUACAAUGGCGCAUACAAAGAGAAGCGACCUCGCGAGAGCAAGCGGACCUCAUAAAGUGCGUCGUAGUCCGGAUUGGAGUCUGCAACUCGACUCCAUGAAGUCGGAAUCGCUAGUAAUCGUGGAUCAGAAUGCCACGGUGAAUACGUUCCCGGGCCUUGUACACACCGCCCGUCACACCAUGGGAGUGGGUUGCAAAAGAAGUAGGUAGCUUAACCUUCGGGAGGGCGCUUACCACUUUGUGAUUCAUGACUGGGGUGAAGUCGUAACAAGGUAACCGUAGGGGAACCUGCGGUUGGAUCACCUCCUU
rnacentral:rRNA from 1 species